GCGGUGGCUCACAUACAAAAUAGAGGAAGAUUGGCAACUGAUAUUAGCUCAGGGCGAAUCUUCUUCAGCAAAAAAGAAAAGAAAAGAAAAGAAAAGAAAGCUUAUUCUGAAGCAAAAGCACUUGGAAGUGUUUCCAAGAGAAUACUUCAUAGGGCUUUCCAGGUGGAUACUGUGGAUACAAAAGUCCAUACUGGACUCCAAAGUGUAGUUGCAUAAAAAGCAGGUAGUAAUAAAAAUCAAACUUGAAAAUACUUUUUAAAAAGAAAUAUUGAAAAGAAGUAAUAUGCAAAUAGUUUGGGUUUUAAAAUGAAUGAGGAAAAGACUGUUCUGGGAAGAAAAAUUAAUAAUAAAAAUAUUUAUAAGAUAUUUAGAGUGAUGAGGAAAAAUGUCAGAUGAUUUUCUUGGUUAACACUGGAAAGCAGCGUUAAAAUAUUUCAAGUAGUUACUAAAACUGAUUUACUUUUUCUUUGGAAUUGAGAAAUAUAAAUUUCGGUUUAGAAAAUGACGAGCAUUUGCUAUAGUCCAGUAGUAGGGGACCUUGAAAACUAAUUAAAUAUUACAAUCAACAAGCAAUUAAUUCCCUUCAUAAGAAAACUGUAAUAGUCUCCAAUUCUGGAUUUUCUUGUAAUAGAAAUUUACAUCUGGAGUGAAUAGUACUCUUUUUCCUCAACUAAACCUGACUUGGAGGAAAUAAUGCUAAUUUGUUUCUAAUGUAUUACCUUUAUGCUUAACCCCAAGUUGUUGUACCUUAGCUGGCAACAAGAAGAAUUAGUGAAGCAGUUCCAAGAGAAUGAAGAUGUGGUUUAGAAGAAAGGGCAGUGAUGGGGAAGGAUGGAAGUAGUAGAUGAGAAAAACAGGGCAGGAAACCUUUUAUCAAUCCUGUUGUGUUUUUUUUUCCCCAAAAUGGAAAAGCUUCACUAUUUUCUAAGUAUAAUAUAAAAAUAUUUCUCAGUGAAAAAUUCAGACAACACAAACUAUAAAAGAUUCUGAAAAUCCCCCCAGUUCUACAAUCCAGACAUAAUGAUGUAGGCUUCUAGCCUUUUUAUCUAUUUCUCUUUGUUUUUACUGAAAAAAGAUCAUUCAUGUUGUUUUGAAACUUUACUUUUCACUUAAUAAUAAACUGUGUGCCUCCUUUUUGCAUCAGCAAAUACUGUGUUUUAGGCAUUGUACUGGGUGCGGUGGAUAUAAUAGACGUGUUCUCUGCCUUCAGAGAUUAGAGUCUAGUAGAGGGUUUGUAUAUGUUAAUUAUGGUGUUGUAUGAUCAGUGCUAAAAAGUCAGGGAUAGCUUCUCUGUUGAGAUUCACAGAACAGUGCUUCUGCAACAUUUGAGAAAUAGCUGUGGUCUCCCUAUGGUAGUGUUCUAAUAACCAGUUCAUCAUAGUAUAACCUCUGGAUAAUAUUUUAGAAUAUGGAAUUGCUUCAGAAAGGAAAAAGGUUGACUCUGGAUUCUUCUUUCAUAUUUCAUGUAUAACCAAUCAGGCUCAAUUCCUUAAGCUUCCUGAAGAAUACAGUGUUUCAUCUUUCUACUGAUAACUAAAUUCUUAAGAAUUGAAGCAAUACCUAAAAUGACAAUUGGUUUUUCACUGAUAAUAUUUUGGUUUUAUUUAAUUUGAAGUUAGAGUAAAUUAUUUUACUCAUUCCUGGGCUCAUUCAGAAAUAUGUAUAUACCAACACACUAAUGUCUGUGUCAGGUAUAAAAUUCAUCUUCCCCAUUUUUGUUUUAAAUUUUUAUUUUGAAAUAAUUAUAGAUUCACAAGAAGUAGCAAAAAAAAUGUACAAGGAGUUCCUGUGUACUUUUCACACAGGUUCCCCCAAUGGUAACAUCUUGCACAUGGUACAAUAUCAAAUCCAGAAAAUAGACGUUGGUGCAGUCCAGUUUGUUCAAAUUUCACCAAUUUUACAAACACUCAUUUGUGUGUGGGUAUAUAUAGUUCUAUGUAAUUAUAUCACAUGUAGAUUUAUACAACCACCACUCAAAACAGAAUUGUUCCACCACAAGGCUUCCUUUAUAGCCACAUUUUCUUUCUUCCUUUCUUCCUUCCAUUCCUAACAACUGGCAACCACUAAUCUGUUUUCUGUCUCUAAUUUUAUUUCAAAAAUGUUACAUAAAAGGAAUCAUACAGUGUGUAACCUUUUAAGAAUGGGUUUUUUUCCCCACUGACCUUAAUUCCCUUGAGGUCCACCCAAAUUGUUGCAUAUAUCAAUAGUUUAUUCCUUUUUCUUGCUGCAUAGUAAGUAUUUCACGGUAUGGGUGUACUAAAGGUUAACCAUUCACUCUUUGAAGGACAGUUGGGUUAUUUCCAGUUUGGGGCUAUUACAAAUGAAGCUGCUAUGUGGAAUUUGAAAUGUUUACAGGUUUUUAUUUGAACAUAUGUUUUCAUUUUUCAGGGGUAAGUGUCCAAGAGUAUAAAUGCUGGGUUGCAUGAUGCAGGGAUCCAGAGUCCAUCUCAAUGUGCCGACUCUCAUAUAACAUCACCUUAGGUCUGGAUUCUUUAUUCUGUGCCCUCGCCUCAGAUAUACGUUAAGUGUAGUAUGGCUCCAGUUUCUAAUGACAAGCCUUCCCGAAGCCCACACAUCUCAAGUGAUGGGAGUGCAGAAGCAGAAAGUUGCCUGAGGAAUUCUACCGCCUUGUAGGCGAAGAGUGGCUUGUCUAGAUGGUAUGAAGGAAAUGACCAAUAAUACACCAAACUCCAAGCACUGGACUCUCCUAUAUGCUAUUUUAAUUAAGUUUUGAGAUGUUACUUAAAUUAUUUCUACAAAUGAAGAAAUGGGCUCAAAGGAGUUUUGAUUUCCCAAGAUCACCCAGUUGGCAAAUGGUCCAGGGAUAAUGGACGACAUAAUCUCAAAUUGUGUUGGUUAAGAAUUAAGAUUCUGGAACCACAUUCUAGGCUUAAACAAUCACUGUCUUGGGUAGGUAGAGGAGUGGAACAAGCUCCCAGGUGCUUAUUUAGAAUUCCAAACUUUCAGAAUGAUCUUUGCCCCUAUAUUUUGAGCACUUUGUAGUUAGAAUGCAUGUUUGGGCAACAGAUGAAUAAGUACACAUACUCCAGUGCAAGACAGAAUGAGAUACACUAAGUGUGGAGAACUAUGGGUUUUCGAAUGGAAGGGAGAGCACACUUGGCUAAGAUGAGAUCAGUGAAGGCUUUAAGGAUUAGACAGCAUUUACAAUGACUGGUAGAUAAGUAAGAUUUUCUUUGAUUGUAACUUUUAUUAUAGAUACUCAGUGCAGUAUUCAUUGCUCAUCUUAUAUGGCUGUCCACAACUAUAAUGCAAUUUGAGCAACACUGAUUGUAUACUAUUUUACUUCAGAUGAAAAACCAUUACAUGCUGAAUCAAUUUCUUUUAAAAUUUCAAAUAAAGAAUUUUCAUUUGGAGAGGCAUACAAUUAUAGUUUCUCAAUUUUUGUCUAUUUUAAGACGUAAUAACAAUGCUUAAGAAAGAUAAAUAUACUUAACAUAAAAUUACAUUGCAAUUUGUCAUUUAUUUCACUGCUAUUUCAACCACUCAUUUACCCUCUGUCUUGAUAUUCACCUUAACAACAUAUUAAUGAUCCAAAUGCAAAUGAGAGUGAAACUCUAGUCUUAGUUAAAUAUUGCAGUAUUUUAAAAGUUUAUAUAAUUAAAAACUGAAGACAAAACCAGCUGUUAAGUGAUAAAUAGCUUACUCAAUUUUAGCAUAAUGUUGGUUUUCAAAUUGAAUACUGACAUUAAAAAACCAUGAGGCAGAUAAACAAUAUGCCUUUAGAAAUAUUAAAGAAUUUAGUUCUUUGCUUACAAGUUUUACUUUUUUUGGUUUAUACAGGUAACAUGCUUAAAUAAUCCUGCUCUUUUCACUUUGUAUCUAUAAAAAUAAAAUUGUCCUCAAUAUUCCUAAAUUUUUUGUUGUCCAAAGAAGGCCAUUAUUAAAUGGUAAGAAGUUACUGAAUC